CCUCCAACUAUGGAAACCAUACUUUUCUUUCUCCUUUCUGUAUUUUCCAAAAGGUAGACUCUGAACCUGUUUUACUCUACCCAUGAAUACUGCUGAACAGGAUAAGUUGAUGCCUGGGCCAUUUGAAAGAAGGUAACGAUUUUGCAAACCAGAACUUACCAGCCAGCUGUUCCUAUCAAGACUAUCUCCUGUUGAUUUCUUAAUUUUUCAAAAUGAAUAAGAAUAAACUAAUUCCCAAGCUUUCCAUUCAAUCUCCUGUCGGUCAUACCAAUUUAAAUGUCCAGUCCUCAAACCCACUACGUAAGAAAGAAGACUUAAAUCUGAUUUCAGAAGACUCCUUGGAAUCAGAUUCAGAAAGCCUCACUCAAGAGUUCGAGUCCCAGUCUGAACUUGAGGACCAAAUCCAGGAUGUAGAUGUGGAGCCUGACAGCCUAGAGGGCAGUCCUCAGAGGGAAAGCUUGAGUGAAACAGAAGAGGAAGCAAGCAGAAAAGUAGCUCAGAUGGCCAUCCAAGGAGACCUCCCAGUCCAGGAUAAUGAUGUGAAUAACAGCCAACAACCUAUAGAAGACAAAUACUCAGACCUCCGCUAUGACCCAAAUUGGAAGAACAAGAAGGAAGAAGGGCAGUUGUUGAGGGUGGAAGCAUUGCCAGAGUCUGCAGCCAGUUCUUCAGAAAAUCUGCCCUUGGAUCCACUCUACCCUUCCAAGGAGACUUCAAUGGAACUCUCAGAGGGAAAAGGCAAACAGAGAAAGAGCUCUCAGAGCGAAACUUCCUUACUUGGAAGUGAAUUUUUAAGCCCAAACUAUGAGAGUGGUGCCCAACACAAAGAGCCAUUUUCAGAGCUAAGCAGUAGUGAUAUGGAGGAGAAGUCAAGCAAACUCUCUCAGUACCUGAAGAGUUCAAGUUCACAUAGCGAGGUUUUCCUGCCAGGAUCACGUGGCCCUCGGAGAAGGAAGUCCAAGCAAUAUUUUGUGGAAAAAAAUAAGCUGACUUUGGGAUUACCCUCUCCUAAAACAGACUCGUAUCUUCAACUUCACAACAGAAAAAGAGGGGAAACUCACCCAGAGCAGAUCUACUACCCCAUCAGAGUAACUGGCAAGACGUCUGUUCAGAAUGCCAAAGAGAUGGAAAAUGCUGCCAUCGAUCCUGAGGACAAGUGGCAUCAAAGAGCACAACAGUUAAAGAUUUACCAGGAGCACUGGUCUCAAUAUGAAGGUACAAAAUCAAGCAAUCUACCAAGAAGUCAAUCCUCUGAAAUAGCCAGCGGCCAGCAACCAUCCAAAAGACCAGCCAAGCCCAAAGCUCGGAGACAGCAUAAACGCCAGAUUGGCCUCAAGUCUUUCAUGGUCAGUCAAGGAAACCAGAACGACAUUCCAAGACAGCAACAAAACCAAAAUCAGCCUAUAGAUGCUUCAGUAAAGCAUGGAUCAACUGUGCUCACAAACGCCUCUAACAAUGAUUUACAAGACUCAAGAGCAUUUAGGAACCAGGAUCCCAAAGUGACCUCCAAUAUAUUUGCUCCACCAAAGCAGGCUUUUGACAGGGUAUUAUAUAAAAACUCUACUGGAUAUCACUCAAUGCUGAAUAUCAAUAAAGAAAGGGGACAAUGCAGAGAUGAAGAGGAGAGAAGAUUUCCGUAUCAGCAGCUACCCAUAUACACUCUUUCUGAUUCAGAUUUGAACAACCUUAAUGAACUUUCUAAGAGACAAGUGUUCCUGAGCCAGAAAGAGUCUCAGUCUGUUUAUGACAUGAAUGUUCAAAGAUCGACUGAAAAGAGGAAGCAACCAAAACAGCCUUUUACAGAGACAAAAUAUAGGAACUUAGAAAUGUUAUGGAAAUUCCAUCCUUCCUCGGACAGCCAACCUGUCAGAGCUUCCCCAGAUUCACGGCUCACUCAGAUAAUGGAGCAGCAUCAGCAAGCCUUGGUGCAGCUGACCGACGUGCAGCCCAGUAAAGGGUCCUCUUCUAGCAUCAUACUCCCCCCCAUCUCAUCAAGGGUAGAAAGUGAAUCCCAACUCAGUCCAGAGAGAAGCCAAAGAAACCAAGUGAAAAUUAUCCGUAGCAAUUCUGAAGGCUAUCUGUUUCAACUGGAAAAAGGGAAAAAACACAGGAAAAGGAACAGCAUUAAGAGUUCCAAGCUGAAAGGUUAUCAAAAAAGAGAUGUGAAGCUUGGAGGCCUGGGACCUGACUUGGAAUCUGUCAGAGAAAAAAUGCAAAAAUUAAUACAGCAAAAAGAAUAUGCAAAACAAGUACAGGAAUACAACAUGAAGACACUGUCUGUUCUGUCCAAACCACAAACAGCAAAAACUGAAAAUAAAUCAGCCAUUCCUCGGCAGAAGGGUCUACCAGUGUUCCGCGCCUGGAAGAAGAAAGCUGCCCAAGUGGAAAGUUUCCGGCUUUGGAGCUGGAAAGUUGAGUUUAGUUCCAUGGGAGGGGACUGACAAGGGUCUCCUGGAGCCAGGAGAGGUGAAGAAUUGGAAUAGAGACAUGGGCCAAAGUAGCCAGGAAGAUCACCAGUGGAACUGAGCACUGCCCUCCAGUAAUAUGUCAAACUCAUUCACCUCUAGCUGCCUCUUGGCCAGAUGUAUCUCCAUUUUAAAAAGUGUAGAGAGACCACAAAUUAUCCCCAUGGGUUGGUAUGCUUCAAGGGAGCUCUGCCUGCUCUCAGCCAAGUCCCCAACCCUCUAUUGUUACUGAUCUGGGAGAUAGGGGGGUGGACCAAGCCAGGCCAACCCAGAGCUGGUCUUUGCUUAGCUCUAUCACAGGCUUAGGGACUGUGCUAGAAGGCCUGCUCUCUUGCUCCCCGCACAUUAAGGCCCCUGCUACUUACCCGAGGUGGUAAGGAAAUAAGGAUGGUGGUGGUCUCCCUUAUGCAGAGGGUGAUGGGCGUGAGGAGCCAGGAGGGUAGGUGUGGGCAUGAGGGGGUAGCCAUAGUCUAGUAGAGGCACCCGGGAAGCCAAAGAGCUGGCAAAAUGGUCAGGGGCCACCUCCCUCAGCGGCUUGGGCUUGUGCAGCAGGAUGUCCUCGAUGAAGAAGGAUGUGGGCCUCUGAGAAGACGCCGGGUGUAGAGGAGAGGUGAAGUUGAGAUUCAUCUUGAUCUCGGAGCGCCUGCCACAGGGCGAAGGCCGGGAAUAAAGUGUGUGAAGCAGGCAGCGUCUCAGCAAGCCUGGUGGAGAUCCGACAACCCUUCUCCGAGACUCAGAUCUCCACUGCUCUCUCCUCGGCCUGGACUAUCCCGGGCACUGGAAAGGCGAGAAGACAAGAUCCUGGCAACGCUGGGGAACAAAGCUGCGAGCCGGAGAGAGCACCACCACCGCCGCCAGGACCCAAGCAGACCCCUGCGGGGCUCGGAGGCGGAACCCGCAUCCGUAGUGCAGGCUCCGGCGGGGAUUCUACCGUCGUCUCUUUAUCCCUGAGGGAGAGAGACCGCUUUUGCCCACGGUGCCCUGCUAACACAGCCGGCACUUGGAGCUUGAGCCGUGCGCGCCAAUGGGCGGGUAUGCAGAAGGUUCGUCCUCAAGAUUCUAGUCCCGUCCUGACCUCACGUUCCUUUUAGAGCCAGAUCCAGGGAAAUUGCAUGGCGGGUUCGGAACGGCAGAAAGUUUUUCCGCAGU